rnacentral:lncRNA from 1 species
AGGAGAGAAGAGGAUGUUGUUCACCCGAAAGUUGUGAGGAUGCAGGGUGGAGGAACCAGCGGCAUGGAUUGGUAGGUGUUGACUGAUGUCCCACAAGCGUAUGGGAUCGCAUCAGUUUUCGAGGGUAGAGUAUUCAACCCAAAUUUGUUGAUUCGCCAAGACGGGAAGCGAAAGAAUAUUCUCAAGUAUUAGCAGCUGAACGUGUAGAUUCAACCACACCUAAAAUAUUAGUG